CCUACGGGUGGCAGCAGUAGGGAAUAUUGCACAAUGGGCGCAAGCCUGAUGCAGCCAUGCCGCGUGUGUGAAGAAGGCCUUCGGGUUGUAAAGCACUUUCAGCGGGGCGGAAGGCGGUGAGGUUAAUAACCUCAUCGAUUGACGUUACCCGCAGAAGAAGCACCGGCUAACUCCGUGCCAGCAGCCGCGGUAAUACGGAGGGUGCAAGCGUUAAUCGGAAUUACUGGGCGUAAAGCGCACGCAGGCGGUCUGUCAUGUCGGAUGUGAAAUCCCCGGGCCCAACCUGGGAACUGCAUUCGAAACUGGCAGGCUAGAGUCUUGUAGAGGGGGGUAGAAUUCCAGGUGUAGCGGUGAAAUGCGUAGAGAUCUGGAGGAAUACCGGUGGCGAAGGCGGCCCCCUGGACAAAGACUGACGCUCAGGUGCGAAAGCGUGGGGAGCAAACAGGAUUAGAUACCCUUGUAGUC
rnacentral:rRNA from 1 species